GACGAACGCUGGCGGCGUGCUUAACACAUGCAAGUCGAACGGAAAGGCCCUGCUUUUGUGGGUUGCUCGAGUGGCGAACGGGUGAGUAACACGUGAUUAACCUGCCCUUGACUUUGGGAUAACUUCAGGAAACUGGGGCUAAUACCGGAUAGGAGCUCCUGCUGCAUGGUGGGGGUUGGAAAGUUUCGGCGGUUGGGGAUGGACUCGCGGCUUAUCAGCUUGUUGGUGGGGUAGUGGCUUACCAAGGCUUUGACGGGUAGCCGGCCUGAGAGGGUGACCGGCCACAUUGGGACUGAGAUACGGCCCAGACUCCUACGGGAGGCAGCAGUGGGGAAUAUUGCACAAUGGGCGGAAGCCUGAUGCAGCAACGCCGCGUGCGGGAUGACGGCCUUCGGGUUGUAAACCGCUUUCGCCUGUGACGAAGCGUGAGUGACGGUAAUGGGUAAAGAAGCACCGGCUAACUACGUG
rnacentral:rRNA from 1 species